ACCAUUGAAGGGCAACAUGAAGACUCCUGUGUGACUAAGGAAUUCUUAUCUCAGUAGCAUUACAGCCCCAUGUGUAGAAUGAACCUCUGGUACCAAGAGAUUGCCAUGCACCAGAAGAAGAAAGGAUUCUGGAAAGGUAAAACUCCUAAUAGCUGUGCUGAAGGACAGACUUACCACUCUGACUAGUGAAGACAGACUUGAUAACAAGCACUGAAAGCAUCAAGAAAAGACACACUGC